rnacentral:rRNA from 1 species
CGCCCUUACGGGAGGCAGCAGCAAGGAAUUUUCCCCAAUGGGCGCAAGCUGAGGGAGCAACGCCGCGUGGAGGACGACGGCCUUCGGGUUGUAAACUCCUUUCGGGUGGGACGACCACGACGGUACCACCAGAAGCAGCCCCGGCUAACUCUGUGCCAGCAGCCGCGGUAAGACAGAGGGGGCAAGCGUUGUCCGGAGUUACUGGGCGUAAAGGGCGCGGAGGCGGUCUGCGGCGUCGGCGCUGAAAGCCCGCUUAACGGGGCGAGGCGUGCCCAUACGCGCAGACUCGAGGCGAGCAGAGGGUGGCGGAAUUC